AUUGAACGCUGGCGGCAGGCCUAACACAUGCAAGUCGAGCGGAUGAAGGGAGCUUGCUCCUGGAUUCAGCGGCGGACGGGUGAGUAAUGCCUAGGAAUCUGCCUGGUAGUGGGGGAUAACGUCCGGAAACGGGCGCUAAUACCGCAUACGUCCUGAGGGAGAAAGUGGGGGAUCUUCGGACCUCACGCUAUCAGAUGAGCCUAGGUCGGAUUAGCUAGUUGGUGGGGUAAAGGCCUACCAAGGCGACGAUCCGUAACUGGUCUGAGAGGAUGAUCAGUCACACUGGAACUGAGACACGUCCAGACUCCUACGGGAGGCAGCAGUGGGGAAUAUUGGACAAUGGGCGAAAGCCUGAUCCAGCCAUGCCGCGUGUGUGAAGAAGGUCUUCGGAUUGUAAAGCACUUUAAGUUGGGAGGAAGGGCAGUAAGUUAAUACCUUGCUGUUUUGACGUUACCAACAGAAUAAGCACCGGCUAACUUCGUG
rnacentral:rRNA from 1 species